rnacentral:misc_RNA from 1 species
GAUGAAGAACGUAGCGAAAUGCGAUAAGUAGUGUGAAUUGCAGAAUUCAGUGAAUCAUCGAAUCUUUGAACGCACAUUGCGCCCCUUGGUAUUUCAUGGGGCAUGCCUGUUCGAGCGUCAUUUGUACCUUCAAGCUUUGCUUGGUGUUGGGUGUUUGUCCAUUCUCUUGCAGAGGGACUCGCCUUAAAGUAAUUGGCAGCCAGUGUUUUGGUUUUGAAGCGCAGCACAAGUCGCGAUUCAAAGCUAUACGCCCGCUUCCACAAGCCUUUUUCACUUUUGACCUCGGAUCAGGUAGGGAUACCCGCUGAACUUAAGCAUAUCAAUAAGCGGAGGA